GCCAGACUCCUACGGGAGGCAGCAGUGGGGAAUCUUCCGCAAUGGGCGAAAGCCUGACGGAGCAACGCCGCGUGAUCGAGUGAAGGCCUUCGGGUUGUAAAGAUCUGUUGACAGGGACGAAUAAGCAAUGCGAAUAGUUUUGUGUAUGACGGUACCUGAAGAAGAAGCCCCGGCUAACUACGUGCCAGCAGCCGCGGUAAUACGUAGGGGGCAAGCGUUAUCCGGAUUUACUGGGUGUAAAGGGGGCGCAGACGGCGAUGCAAGCCAGGAGUGAAAGCCCGGGGCCCAACCCCGGGACUGCUCUUGGAACUGCGCGGCUGGAGUGCAGGAGGGGCAGGCGGAAUUCCUGGUGUAGCGGUGAAAUGCGUAGAUAUCAGGAGGAACACCGGUGGCGAAGGCGGCCUGCUGGACUGCGACUGACGUUGAGGCCCGAAAGCGUGGGGAGCAAACAGGAUUAGAUACCCCCGUACUU
rnacentral:rRNA from 1 species